CGUAGUCGAUGGGAAACAGGUUAAUAUUCCUGUACUUGGUGUUACUGCGAAGGGGGGACGGAGAAGGCUAUGUUGGCCGGGCGACGGUUGUCCCGGUUUAAGCGUGUAGGCUGGUUUUCCAGGCAAAUCCGGAAAACCAAGGCUGAGGCGUGAUGACGAGGCACUACGGUGCUGAAGCGACAAAUGCCCUGCUUCCAGGAAAAGCCUCUAAGCAUCAGGUAACAUCAAAUCGUACCCCAAACCGACACAGGUGGUCAGGUAGAGAAUACCAAGGCGCUUGAGAGAACUCGGGUGAAGGAACUAGGCAAAAUGGUGCCGUAACUUCGGGAGAAGGCACGCUGAUAUGUAGGUGAAGCGACUUGCUCGUGGAGCUGAAAUCAGUCGAAGAUACCAGCUGGCUGCAACUGUUUAUUAAAAACACAGCACUGUGCAAACACGAAAGUGGACGUAUACGGUGUGACGCCUGCCCGGUGCCGGAAGGUUAAUUGAUGGGGUUAGCGGCAACGCGAAGCUCUUGAUCGAAGCCCCGGUAAACGGCGGCCGUAACUAUAACGGUCCUAAGGUAGCGAAAUUCCUUGUCGGGUAAGUUCCGACCUGCACGAAUGGCGUAAUGAUGGCCAGGCUGUCUCCACCCGAGACUCAGUGAAAUUGAACUCGCUGUGAAGAUGCAGUGUACCCGCGGCAAGACGGAAAGACCCCGUGAACCUUUACUAUAGCUUGACACUGAACAUUGAGCCUUGAUGUGUAGGAUAGGUGGGAGGCUUUGAAGUGUGGACGCCAGUCUGCAUGGAGCCGACCUUGAAAUACCACCCUUUAAUGUUUGAUGUUCUAACGUUGGCCCCUAAUCGGGGUUGCGGACAGUGUCUGGUGGGUAGUUUGACUGGGGCGGUCUCCUCCUAAAGAGUAACGGAGGAGCACGAAGGUUGGCUAAUCCUGGUCGGACAUCAGGAGGUUAGUGCAAUGGCAUAAGCCAGCUUGACUGCGAGCGUGACGGCGCGAGCAGGUGCGAAAGCAGGUCAUAGUGAUCCGGUGGUUCUGAAUGGAAGGGCCAUCGCUCAACGGAUAAAAGGUACUCCGGGGAUAACAGGCUGAUACCGCCCAAGAGUUCAUAUCGACGGCGGUGUUUGGCACCUCGAUGUCGGCUCAUCACAUCCUGGGGCUGAAGUAGGUCCCAAGGGUAUGGCUGUUCGCCAUUUAAAGUGGUACGCGAGCUGGGUUUAGAACGUCGUGAGACAGUUCGGUCCCUAUCUGCCGUGGGCGCUGGAGAACUGAGGGGGGCUGCUCCUAGUACGAGAGGACCGGAGUGGACGCAUCACUGGUGUUCGGGUUGUCAUGCCAAUGGC
rnacentral:rRNA from 1 species